UCUUUAUGUUGCUCGGGCCA
rnacentral:siRNA from 1 species